rnacentral:rRNA from 1 species
CCCUAAGGUACGCGGAGGGACAUUAAAGAGAGCCUAAAAAACUCCCGCAAAACCCCAUGUGAACAUACCAUACGUUGCCUCGGCAGGCCCCAGACGCGCCUAGCGCGCGCACCCCCAGGGGGGGCGCGGCUGGGACCUGCCGGCGGCCCAAGCAAACCCUGUCGUCACUGAAUUCUGAGCCCGCAUGUAGGAAAUUAAGUUAAAACUUUCAACAACGGAUCUCUUGGUUCUGGCAUCGAUGAAGAACGCAGCGAAAUGCGAUAAGUAAUGUGAAUUGCAGAAUUCAGUGAAUCAUCGAAUCUUUGAACGCACAUUGCGCCCGCCAGUAUUCUGGCGGGCAUGCCUGUUCGAGCGUCAUUUCAACCCCUUAAGCCCCUGUUGCUUAGCGUUGGGAGCCUACGGCCCGCCGUAGCUCCUCAAAGUUAGUGGCGGAGCCGGCCCGCACCCCAGGCGUAGUAGUUCAGUCAGCUCGCCCGCGGUCGGACCAGUCCCCUGCCGUAAAACACCCCAUUCUCGCAAAGUUGACCUCGGAUCAGGUAGGGAUACCCGCUGAACUUAAGCAUAC